GGUAAAGGCAGGAAGAGUUUUGUGCUUCCAGCCCCAACUCCCAGCUGCUGUUUUAGGGUUAAGAAGUGGCCGAGAUGUGAAAAGUGGAGGGGUUAUUUCACUUGGAGGAAAUACCAGCUUUUGGCCUGAUCCAGGAGGGUGUUCCAGUGGGAUGAAUCCGUGUAAUUUGUCUGAAGGAAUAAGCGGAGUUGGUUCAAACCUCCCUGACAAAAUGGCCAUCGAAGAGCGCGGCAACAACUUGAUCCUCUCAUCACCAAAAUUGCUGUCAAAACACUCAAGGCAGGCAAACCUGGCACUGCUCAUUUCUGGCCAGCCCCGAAAGGUCAAGGGCUGAAUCUACAGCUAAAAGAAAAAUGAGAUAAGUAACAAAUCUGUUGUGCGUGUCUCUCACAGAGAGUGUGACACGAGCUCGUGGCUGGGUGGAGGCGAAUCUCGCGGAGUUGUGGUGUCAGAUCUGGUUUGCUCGUCAGGCACAUCCCAUAACGUGACACGACGGCCCCGCCGCACGCGUCACAGCACGGCGACGCUCCUGGGGCGGCGGAAAACGUCGCGGUUAAACAAAGUUUGGGGAACGCUGCUCUGAGAGGGGCAGCGAGGGAGAAGGGAAACCAAAGAAGUGUUGUUUGACUCAGGUUUUAAUAGCAGAGGUGAAGUUUUAAGUUUAAAAUUGUUUCCGUGGUUUAAAUCGAGUUAAAACUUCCUGACUUGGGCUUGAGAUCUGCAAGGACAGAGAGUGAACAGUGAAGGUGGGUCAUGAAAGGAGAUGAAGGUAGUAACCCUUGGCACAUGGAAGGAAAGCUUGGGAAGAUUCUUUGUAAAUCUGGAGUGGGUUUGUGGUGGGAGUAAAGAAUGGAAACUUCCAGAGCCCUAGCUUGAACUUUUUGGGGUUUUCAUCCCCUUUUACCUCACCCUGAGAGCUUUCAUUUCUCCUCUACUGAGCCUCCAAUGCACCACUUGGACUCUAAUGUUGAGGAAAACGUCCCAAAUGCUCCUGGCCGCAUACAAUUACAAUAAAUUCAUGGAUGGAGCUGGAAGUUUGAUUUUCUCAUUCUGUUUCUUUGGAUUUUGUAACUCAUUAAACUCCAGCCCGACGUCCUUCACUCACAUCAAUUUUACUGCAAUCUUGACUGAGCUUGCCUUUAUUGAUUCCAGUGGAGUUCAACAGACAUAAAAAAUGAAACUAAAAGGAGAAUCAAUUCCACAUUAAUUAGCCAGCAUGCAUGAUUUUAUGUUGCUUAAUGACUCUUGUAAUCAUCUACAACUGUACCAGAGCGAGCGGCAGUUGGAGCCAGGCAGGGCUGGACAUGAACAAAACCUUCCAGCAGUGAAUUCCCACAAUUUGGACCCCUUGGAGAGUGCAGUUGUUUCCAUAAAAUCAGAUCUAGAUUAGUAACUGUGACAGGGAAAGAGAGAUUAGAAACUAGAUGAGCUCAGACUGUGGUGGGGUUUUUUGGUUUUUUUUUCCCCCAGUAAAAAAUCCUGUGGAGAAAUCCACCCAGCCCCUUCCUGUGUUCCUCAGUUUUGGGAAGGAUUUGCAGGAUGAAACUCUUGGGCCCUCACCUAAAGAAGAAGAAAGGCAAAGAUUAUUUACAGCCCAUUUUA